AGCGAACGCUGGCGGCAGGCCUAACACAUGCAAGUCGAACGAACCUUUCGGGGUUAGUGGCGGACGGGGGAGUAGCACGUGGGAACGUGCCUUUAGGUUCGGAAUAACUCAGGGAAACUUGUGCUAAUACCGAAUGUGCCCUUCGGGGGAAAGAUUUAUCGCCUUUAGAGCGGCCCGCGUCUGAUUAGCUAGUUGGGUGAGGUAAUGGCGCACCAAGGCGACGUACAGUAGCUGGUCUGAGAGGAUGAUCAGCCACAUUGGGACUGAGACACGGCCCAAACUCCUACGGGAGGCAGCAGUGGGGAAUCUUGCGCAAUGGGCGAAAGCCUGACGCAGCCAUGCCGCGUGAAUGAUGAAGGUCUUAGGAUUGUAAAAUUCUUUAACCGGGGACGAUAAUGACGGUACCCGGAGAAGAAGCCCCGGCUAACUUCGUG
rnacentral:rRNA from 1 species